AAGUCGAGCGAAUGGAUUAAGAGCUUGCUCUUAUGAAGUUAGCGGCGGACGGGUGAGUAACACGUGGGUAACCUGCCCAUAAGACUGGGAUAACUCCGGGAAACCGGGGCUAAUACCGGAUAACAUUUUGAACCGCAUGGUUCGAAAUUGAAAGGCGGCUUCGGCUGUCACUUAUGGAUGGACCCGCGUCGCAUUAGCUAGUUGGUGAGGUAACGGCUCACCAAGGCAACGAUGCGUAGCCGACCUGAGAGGGUGAUCGGCCACACUGGGACUGAGACACGGCCCAGACUCCUACGGGAGGCAGCAGUAGGGAAUCUUCCGCAAUGGACGAAAGUCUGACGGAGCAACGCCGCGUGAGUGAUGAAGGCUUUCGGGUCGUAAAACUCUGUUGUUAGGGAAGAACAAGUGCUAGUUGAAUAAGCUGGCACCUUGACGGUACCUAACCAGAAAGCCACGGCUAACUACGUGCCAGCAGCCGCGGUAAUACGUAGGUGGCAAGCGUUAUCCGGAAUUAUUGGGCGUAAAGCGCGCGCAGGUGGUUUCUUAAGUCUGAUGUGAAAGCCCACGGCUCAACCGUGGAGGGUCAUUGGAAACUGGGAGACUUGAGUGCAUAAGAGGGAAGUGGAACUUCCUGGGUUACGGUGAAAUGGUUAAAGGGUUGGAACGAACCACGUUUGGUAAAAGCGGAUUUCUCCGGACGGUAACGGGCCCUAAGUGCUCGAAAACCGCGGGAAAAANCCCGUUCNNNAAUGCGGGGNNCCGCCAAAGCCCUAACACAUUUNNAGCGCNUAAGAGAUGGGAAGGCCCCCUCCCUCUUACGGCCGAAAGUUUCCCCAUUUACCAAUCNCCCCCGCGGAGUACGGCCCCGGGGGCUUAAACCCAAAAGAAAAAAAACAGCCCCCCGCCCACCUUUUCGACCAAAAUUUUUUAAAUACAAGGCCGCCCCAAAAAACUU
rnacentral:rRNA from 1 species